rnacentral:rRNA from 1 species
CCUACGGGAGGCAGCAGUGGGGAAUAUUGCACAAUGGGGGAAACCCUGAUGCAGCGACGCCGCGUGAGUGAAGAAGUAUUUCGGUAUGUAAAGCUCUAUCAGCAGGGAAGAAAAUGACGGUACCUGACUAAGAAGCCCCGGCUAACUACGUGCCAGCAGCCGCGGUAAUACGUAGGGGGCAAGCGUGAUCCGGAUUUACUGGGUGGAAAGGGAGCGUAGACGGCCAGACAAGUCAGAAGUGAAAGCUCAGGGCUCAACCCUGGGACUGCUUUUGAAACUGCCGGGCUGGAGUGCAGGAGAGGUAAGCGGAAUUCCUAGUGUAGCGGUGAAAUGCGUAGAUAUUAGGAGGAACACCAGUGGCGAAGGCGGCUUACUGGACUGUAACUGACGUUGAGGCUCGAAAGCGUGGGGAGCAAACAGGAUUAGAUACCCGAGUAGUC